rnacentral:rRNA from 1 species
UUGGAGGGCAAGUCUGGUGCCAGCAGCCGCGGUAAUUCCAGCUCCAAUAGCGUAUAUUAAAGUUGUUGCAGUUAAAAAGCUCGUAGUUGAAUUUCGGGAUCAAUAUUUCGGUCAUGCCGUUGGUAUGCACUGUUAUCAUUGAUUCCUCACCUUCUAAAGAACCGUAAUGCCAUUAAUUUGGUGUUACGGGGAAUUAGGACUGUUACCUUGAAAAAAUUAGAGUGUUUAAAGCAGGCUCACGCUUGAAUACAUUAGCAUGGAAUAAUGAAAUAGGACAUCCGAUUCUAUUUUGUUGGUUUCUAGGAUCGAUGUAAUGAUUAAUAGGGAUAGUUGGGGGCAUUAGUAUUCAAUUGUCAGAGGUGAAAUUCUUGGAUUUAUUGAAGACUAACUACUGCGAAAGCAUUUGCCAAGGAUGUUUUCAUUAAUCAAGAACGAAAGUUAGGGGAUCGAAGACGAUCAGAUACCGUCGUAGUCUUAACCAUAAACUAUGCCGACUAGGGAUCGGAUGAUGUUAAUUUUUUAAUGACUCAUUCGGCGCCUUACGGGAAACCAAAGUGUUUGGGUUC